rnacentral:rRNA from 1 species
GCAACGCCGCGUGAGGGAGGACGGCCUUCGGGUUGUAAACCUCUUUCGACACCGACGAAGGCCCUUUUGGGUUUGACGGUAGGUGUGGAAGAAGCACCGGCUAACUACGUGCCAGCAGCCGCGGUAAUACGUAGGGUGCGAGCGUUGUCCGGAUUUAUUGGGCGUAAAGAGCUCGUAGGCGGUUUGUCGCGUCGGCCGUGAAAA